GAUUUUUAUCUUUAAAAAAAUGGUAAUGGUAAGUCAUUAGCGAAGCCGUGGAGCGUGUACGUUGUUCCUAUAGAAAUGAUAAUGUAUUAGAACAAUUGUAUUAAUAUAAAGGUGUUGAUUUGUAGCUGCACUACAGUCAGAGCUGCUGUUUUAGGAAAUUCAUCAACACCUUCUGGCCAAUCAGAACCCAGAAUUAAUCAGUGCGUCGGUAUAAAAAGUUCGUAUGCAGCAUCUUGAACAGAAACUAACUGGUUCUACAAAUCCUGUAUUCUUAAAGCUGUGUGACUGCGCUUUAUUAUUCAGUUGCUUUUUAUAAACACGGAUGAUUAUUCAUGGCUUAUAAACAUGUUGUAGCACGGGUGUCUCUAUUCAGCGUAUUAUUAGGAAUUUGACUUGGCAGCCGAGGGAGAGAGAGUAGAAGAGUAAUGGUUUCUUCGGAGUAGGAGGUGAACCUGUUAAAGCUGACUAAACCUGUUAAAGCUGAUAAACAUGAAUGUAGGAGUAAACAUGAAUAAAUAGGAAUGGAGAUGUAAACAUGAAUAAACAUGAAUGUAGAAAUAAAUAUGAAUAAACAUGAAUGUAGGAGUAAACAUGAAUAAAUAGGAAUGUAGAAGUAAACAUGAAUAAACAUGAAUGUAGAAGUAAACAUGAAUAAAUAGGAAUGUAGAAGUAAACAUGAAUGUAGGAGUAAACAUGAAUAAACAUGAAUGUAGGAGUAAACAUGAAUAAACAUGAAUGUAGGAGUAAACAUGAAUAAACAUGAAUGUAGAAGUAAACAUGAAAUAAACAUGAAUGUAGAAAUAAAUCUGAAUAAACAGGAAUGUAGAAGUAAACAUGAAUAAAUAGGAAUGUAGAAGUAAACAUGAAUGUAGAAGUAAACAUGAAUAAAUAUGAAUGUAGGAGUAAACAUGAAUAAACAUGAAUGUAGAAGACUGGAGAUGUAAACAUGAAUAAACAUGAAUGUAGAAAUAAAUGAAUAAACAUGAAUGUAGGAGUAAACAUGAAUAAACAUGAAUGCAGGAGUAAACAUGAAUAAAUAGGAAUGUAGAAGUAAACAUGAAUGUAGGAGUAAACAUGAAUAAACAGGACUGGAGAUGUAAACAUGAAUAAACAUGAAUGUAGGAGUAAACAUGAAUAAACAGGACUGGAGAUGUAUGUGUAUGUAUAUGAAUGUAGGCUUUCAGGGGCAGAAUUUCCCCACAAUGCAUUGCAGUCUGAUGUAUUUUUCAUGUUAACAAAUAUAAGGCUGUGUGUGUGUGUGUGUGUGUGUGUGUGUGUGUGUGUGUGUGUGUGUGUGUGUGUGUGUGUGUAAUGCAGCAUUAGAGGUGUAAGGUUAGUGUUAUUUGUGCAGUCUGUGAAACCUGUGAUCUUAAAUCCUCAUGACUUUGAUUAUAAUGCUUCCUAAGUUGUUUACAAAGCUCUAUAAUUACUCCUCCAAAGAAGUGUUAGAAAUGACUAUCAUUAAUUCAGAUGCGUCAUGGCGUGCAAAACAGCCUACUGCCCCGUUCUUCUUCCCGAUGAUGACUUAAUGACAUCAUUACACACCAAUUUCUCAACUGUUAGUCCAUAUCCGAGAUGACCGUCUCGAUUCGGUUCCUGUUUGGUACGAAAACGGAUCAGAACGGAGCGAAAAAAAAAAGACGUGUGGGAGAAGGCGGAGCUCGAAAUGCACGCGAGCAAAUGAGCGAAAACUCGAGGAGUGUCCCGUAGCGAUGUGUGUUCAUUUGUGCCGUGUUUGUUUUAGUGUGACAGAAAUGUAGAGACAUUUAAAAUACUUUGGACCUAGCUACAGUCCCCUCUGAAACUACUGGAGCGGCAAGACCAAAAGUAUAGGAACAGAUCGAUCAUGGACUAACUUACAGUAAAUAGGGG
ensembl:lncRNA